CUACAGUGGAGAGUGACGCAAGCAUAUAAUGGCGGAGGAAAACGAUCCCAAACUUAUCAUUUUCAUCCAGAGUGGGAGGAAGAUUAUUUUUUCGUUUAUUCAAAUGGCAAAUCCAUCUGCCUUACCUGCAACGCAAACGUGGCAUUACCGAAGAAAGGGAAUUUGGAGCGGCAUUUUAAGACGAUCCACAAGAGCUACAAUGCUAGCUUCCCGGCUAAAAGCCAGCUUGCAGCACAACAGGCCGUUUUCCCCCGGACAAAUACCACCAGUAAGGCUGCAACCACAGCUUCUUAUCGUGCCAGCCGUGUUCUGGGAAAAAGAAAGAAAUCAUUCAAGGAUGGUGAAACGAUGUGAGUUAAUGUCGGAGGAUAUUGAUCGGCAACUGAGGAAUGAUAUUGAGAUGGUACGCAGCAACGACUCGACAGACUGGAGUCAAAGGUGGACCGCAUACUACAACUACUGUGGAGGAAUCAGGCUGCUGAAGAAGCUGACUGCAUUGGAGAUAAUGCAGGCCAGACUUAAAACAACGGAGGAGCUGGACCAAUUCAGCAAAACGCUGGAGGACCAGGAGUUUAGGAGGACAGUGGUGAAUCUGCUGAAACAGCUAUCUGGAUCAAUGCUGAACUCCUUUGCCAGGACGAUGCUCGGUGAAACUGGGAUGUGGCGGUUGUAGGCUGGUGUCAGCCUCAAAGGAUAGAAAGGGAAGAAAGCCCCGCAGCCUCUCACUCUCUAGAGUUUUGAAGAAAGCCUUCAGCAACAAGAUGGAAAUUUUACCAGAUGCUAUCGAUGAUGCGUUAACUGAAACACUGUGCCAUGCAGCAAAGAGGCACUUGAGGCAGUUCUGGUGGAGUGAACAGGCUGGCUGAUCGGAGUUCGCUUGGGCUCAGGUAAGCGUGGGUUUUUAUUAUUUAUAGUUGUUUAAUUUUUGUUAGUGGUGUGGGUCAUUUUGUUUUGUUGGUUUUUAUUUCCCUGUCCCCUAACCCCAACCUCACACACUUCUGACCGUUCGUCUUUAGUGUUGUGGGGUGGUGCAGGCUGGUUAUGCUGGGCAUCUCCAAGAAAACCUCUGCACCUGGGGGGGGGGGGGGGGGGGGGGGGGGGGUUCAGGGUUUUGUUAAUUCCCAGUUCCACCCCAGCCUCGGUGAGCCUCUGACCGUUCGCCAUUGGCAUCACUGUGGUGUGAGGCAGUGGGAAUAUACUUCAGUCGGAGCGGUGGGGCCGAUCAGAGCCGUACGCCUUUUCUGCUGUCCACCCCUCCCGGUAGACUGGAGUAUAGUCGGAGGGACGACACCGGCCGUAUUGCCGGUUUUCCCCUGCCUUUGGGGGUGGGGCUGGGUUAUUUUUUCCUGUUGUCUUCCCCGGCUCAGUAGUCCUGAGCCGAUUGCCACGACGUGUCUGCCGAC